AUUGAACGCUGGCGGCAUGCUUUACACAUGCAAGUCGAACGGUAACAGGGAGCUUGCUCCGCUGACGAGUGGCGAACGGGUGAGUAAUGCAUCGGAACGUACCCAGUCGUGGGGGAUAACGUAGCGAAAGUUACGCUAAUACCGCAUACGUCCUGAGGGAGAAAGCGGGGGACCGUAAGGCCUCGCGCGAUUGGAGCGGCCGAUGUCGGAUUAGCUAGUUGGUAGGGUAAAGGCCCUACCAAGGCGACGAUCCGUAGCGGGUCUGAGAGGAUGAUCCGCCACACUGGGACUGAGACACGGCCCAGACUCCUACGGGAGGCAGCAGUGGGGAAUUUUGGACAAUGGGCGAAAGCCUGAUCCAGCCAUGCCGCGUGAGUGAAGAAGGCCUCGGUUGUAAG
rnacentral:rRNA from 1 species